rnacentral:ribozyme from 1 species
GGACAGGGGUUAUAGCCAAACUCCUGUACCAGCGUAAUGUAGCCUAGUCCGACUUUGGACUAGAGGGUUCACAGCCCCUUUAAUACAGAUGACGCA